rnacentral:rRNA from 1 species
GACGAACGCUGGCGGUGUGCUUCACACAUGCAAGUCGAACGGGGUAGCAAUACUUACGUGGCGGACGGGUGAGUAACGCGUGGGAAUCUGCCUUCAGAUGGGGGAUAACCAACCGAAAGGUUGGCUAAUACCGCAUAUGCCGCAAGGUAAAAGGAGUAAUCCGUCUGGAGAUGAGCCCGCGUCCGAUUAGCUAGUUGGUAGGGUAAAAGCCUACCAAGGCUCUGAUCGGUAGCUGGUCUGAGAGGAUGAUCAGCCACAAUGGGACUGAGACACGGCCCAUACUCCUACGGGAGGCAGAAGUGGGGAAUUUUACGCAAUGGGGGAAACCCUGACGUAGCGACACCGCGUGAGCGAAGAAGCCCUUUGGGGUGUAAAGCUCUGUCGGCUGGAACGAAUAAAUGACGGUACCAGCAAAGGAAGCAUCGGCUAACUACGUGCCAGCCGCCGCAGUAAUAC